UGCUGCUUCGCUGACGAAGUGGCGGACGGGUGAGUAAUGUCUGGGAAACUGCCUGAUGGAGGGGGAUAACUACUGGAAACGGUAGCUAAUACCGCAUAACGUCGCAAGACCAAAGAGGGGGACCUUCGGGCCUCUUGCCAUCGGAUGUGCCCAGAUGGGAUUAGCUAGUAGGUGGGGUAACGGCUCACCUAGGCGACGAUCCCUAGCUGGUCUGAGAGGAUGACCAGCCACACUGGAACUGAGACACGGUCCAGACUCCUACGGGAGGCAGCAGUGGGGAAUAUUGCACAAUGGGCGCAAGCCUGAUGCAGCCAUGCCGCGUGUAUGAAGAAGGCCUUCGGGUUGUAAAGUACUUUCAGCGGGGAGGAAGGCGAUAAGGUUAAUAACCUUGUCGAUUGACGUUACCCGCAGAAGAAGCACCGGCUAACUCCGUGCCAGCAGCCGCGGUAAUACGGAGGGUGCAAGCGUUAAUCGGAAUUACUGGGCGUAAAGCGCACGCAGGCGGUCUGUCAAGUCGGAUGUGAAAUCCCCGGGCUCAACCUGGGAACUGCAUUCGAAACUGGCAGGCUAGAGUCUUGUAGAGGGGGGGUAGAAUUCCAGGUGUAGCGGUGAAAUGCGUAGAGAUCUGGAGGAAUACCGGUGGGCGAAGGCGGCCCCCUGGACAAAGACUGACGCUCAGGUGCGAAAGCGUGGGGAGCAA
rnacentral:rRNA from 1 species